rnacentral:snRNA from 1 species
AGCUUUGCGCAGUGGCAGUAUCGUAGCCAAUGAGGUUUAUCCGAGGCGCGAUUAUUGCUAAUAGAGAAAGGUUUAUUUGUC